rnacentral:rRNA from 1 species
UACGUAGGGAGCAAGCGUUGUCCGGAUUUACUGGGUGUAAAGGGUGCGUAGGCGGCUUUGCAAGUCAGAAGUGAAAUCCAUGGGCUUAACCCAUGAACUGCUUUUGAAACUGCAGAGCUUGAGUGGAGUAGAGGUAGGCGGAAUUCCCGGUGUAGCGGUGAAAUGCGUAGAGAUCGGGAGGAACACCAGUGGCGAAGGCGGCCUGCUGGGCUCUAACUGACGCUGAGGCACGAAAGCGUGGGUAGCAAACA